rnacentral:snRNA from 1 species
AAGACUAUACUUUCAGGGAUCAUUUCUAAUAGUUUGUUAC